GAUGAACGUUAGCGGGAGGCUUAAUACAUGCAAGUCGAGCGGUAAGUUUUUUAUAGCAAUAUGAAGACCUAGAGCGGCGCACGGGUGAGUAACGCGUACACGACCUGGCCUAAACUGGGGGAUAGCCUUGGGAAACUGAGAGUAAUCCCGCAUGUGAUUAUGUUACUGAUGGUGAUAUAAUUAAAGCUUCGGCGGUUUAGGAUGGGUGUGCGUCUGAUUAGCUAGUUGGUGGGAUAGCAGCCUACCAAGGCAACGAUCAGUAGCCGGCCUGAGAGGGUGGACGGCCACACUGGGACUGAGACACGGCCCAGACUCCUACGGGAGGCAGCAGUGGGGAAUAUUGCGCAAUGGGGGAAACCCUGACGCAGCGACGCCGCGUGAGCGAAGAAGGCCUUAGGGUCGUAAAAGCUCUGUUGUAAGGGGACGAAAUGUUUUAAUCUGGCGAACAGUCAGAUAAAGUGACGGUACCUUACCAGCAAGCCCCGGCUAACUACGUGCCAGCAGCCGAC
rnacentral:rRNA from 1 species